rnacentral:rRNA from 1 species
GAUCCUGGCUCAGGACGAACGUUGGCGGCGCGCCUAACACAUGCAAGUCGAACGAGAGAUGAGGAGCUUGCUCUUCAAAUCGAGUGGCGAACGGGUGAGUAACGCGUGAGGAACCUGCCUCAAAGAGGGGGACAACAGUUGGAAACGACUGCUAAUACCGCAUAAGCCCACGGCUCGGCAUCGAGCAGAGGGAAAAGGAGCGAUCCGAUUUGAGAUGGCCUCGCGUCCGAUUAG